AUGGUUAUUGACAGCGAAUCGUGUUCUGCCUCUUUUCUUACUACUGGAAGUUUGUUUGGAUCAUUAGAUCCAGAACUCUGGAGCAAAAUCAAAGUGCGCCUUCCAAAUGACGAAGUGGUCCAUGGGUGGCUGGACUAUUAUAUGUCCAAAAACAAUAUCGCUGUUGUCACCACAGAUUCAUUGCUGGUGCCCUACUUUCAUCUUCGCGUAGCAUGUCUCGACAAUAACGUGCGAGUUGAGUCAGCUGCUGGCGUAUUAGCUGUAAGGCGGUACUUUGACUCAGGCAAAUUAGUGUACACCGGAGGGUCACUGACUGGUGGAAUUCAGAACAAAGAGCUUAAUUCAUCACUCACUGGUGGAAUUCAAAACAAAGAGCUUAAUUUUUCCACAUGCAAAAUCAAUGAGGUUGCCAGUGGAGGACCACUUGUUGAUCGUGAUGGGAAUAUUGUCGGCAUGAACUACUAUGGUGGGGAAACAACUCCAUUCCUACCAAGUAAUCUAAUUGUUGAACAGUUGGGGCCUGAAAUAUAUCGGGCUUCAAGUAAACAGGAUCAUUGCUGUACAAAUGAGAUACAAGAAUCUUCCACACCUUGUAGCAAUGACCCAAAAGAACUCACUGACAAUGAACUUGAAUGCAUACUUGCUCCCUGGAUUGCCUCUCCUGGGAAAUUUGAUGAAUUUGAAGUUAGAGCAAAUGAGAUGUUAAGGACUGCUGGUUAUCCCUUGCCAAAGUUUGCUGAUGAUGGCAUGUACUUGAAAGGGACUUUCGACGAUGAAUUUGGCAGAGAGAAUUGGAGUGAACGCACUAGGAGAGUUGCUUCAAAGAUGUCUCGAAGUGUUGUGGCACUUGCUUCAUUCAUUGUAGAAUCUGAUUCUGCUGAGGAACUCAAGAAAAGAAGAAAACAUUUUGCUUGCUCAGGUGUAUUUAUAGAAUGCGAUGGAUCCACUACAAGUGUACUGACUUCAGCAAGUUUGGUUAGAACUUCUGGUGAAGAAAGCAACAUUCAUCCUAAAUUGGAGAUUGAAGUGUGUCUUCCAAGUAAACGUCGUGUGGUUGGGACACUGCAACAUUGUGAUUUACACUACAAUGUGGCUGUUGUAAGCAUCAUGGGUGUCUGCAGUCAUCGCGCAGCAAAACUUGAUGAAGUGUCUCAAACUGAGGUAGUAGCUCUGGGACGUGGUUUUAUGUCAGGCAUGUUAAUGGCCACAAAUGGGGCUGUGACUGGCAAAUGUAGUAAAUUUGAUUGCAAGGAGCUUUGGGUGUCCACUUGUAAAAUCAGCAAGGCUGGGAUUGGAGGGCCCCUUGUUGAUUUUGAUGGGAAUUUUGUUGGCAUGAACUUUUAUGACAUGGAAAAAACUCCUUACAUAACAAGGGAUAUAAUCCUGAGACUCAUGAAGCGUUUUGAUGCAGAACGGACUAUAGAUGAUGCUGAUGUUGUCCGGACUGCAGACAAGUCUAAAAUUCUGAGUUGGCCUGUGCCUGAGGCGUACUGGGUUUAUCCGUCUCGUUACCCCCCCGAGCCUCCUUGCUUGGCAGGAGAAGUGGACGAGUAA
rnacentral:rRNA from 1 species